rnacentral:tRNA from 1 species
UCCCCCGUCGUCCAAUGGCAGGACACGACACUUUGGAUGUCGGAAUCGUGGUUCGAAUCCACGCGGGGGAA